GUCCAUCCUGCCCCUGCUUACCACGGCGGUGAAUUCGCCGAUCUGUGUUUCCUGUCCAGCUAUGGCUCCUAACACCAGCAUUCACAGUGGCAUGGAGUCCUCCCUCGGCCUGCAGGCCCCCACCAGGCCCCCUGCAGGCCCCCUGCAGGCCUGACAGCUGUGACGCUGGGCCAGUCCCCCAUCUCUGUCUGCACACAGUGCCGAGUAUGGAAGCCCGGGCUGACCCAAACAUCAGCAUCCGCUGCGGAUGGCUCCUUGGCCCAGAUGCCCUGGUGCUCGGCGGGCAGAGACACACACACUGGCCGCCCCAGGCAGCCAAGUCCAGCUGUGCACGUGGGAGCUGCUGCAAAGGAGAUGUCAGUCGUGGAGGGCAGAG
rnacentral:lncRNA from 1 species